GAUCAUGGCUCAGAACGAACGCUGGCGGCAGGCCUAACACAUGCAAGUCGAACGCUCUCUUCGGAGGGAGUGGCAGACGGGUGAGUAACGCGUGGGAAUCUACCCAGCUCUACGGAAUAACGCAUGGAAACGUGUGCUAAUACCGUAUACGCCCCAUGGGGGAAAGAUUUAUCGGAGUUGGAUGAGCCCGCGUCUGAUUAGCUAGUUGGUGAGGUAAUGGCUCACCAAGGCGACGAUCAGUAGCUGGUCUGAGAGGAUGACCAGCCACACUGGGACUGAGACACGGCCCAGACUCCUACGGGAGGCAGCAGUGGGGAAUAUUGGACAAUGGGCGCAAGCCUGAUCCAGCCAUGCCGCGUGAGUGAUGACGGCCUUAGGGUUGUAAAGCUCUUUCACCGGUGAAGAUAAUGACGGUAACCGGAGAAGAAGCCCCGGCUAACUUCGUG
rnacentral:rRNA from 1 species